rnacentral:lncRNA from 1 species
CCAGUUUUGCUUCCAACAUGGCAAAAUUUUGUCCAAUGCAAAUGCGAGGUCCCUAACUGAAGAGGUGAUUUUUUACCAGACGAGCUGCUUCGAAUGCCAGGAACGUAUGCCGAAUUGGUGGAAUAGUUGAUCAAGGAUCACUUGCUUAGAUUGUUAGAUACGGGGCCUAAUCCCCUGGUUCACCUCUGAAAGCUAAGUUAGUUCAGAGUAAUGUGAAAAUAAUUCUAGAGAGAGAGUAGGCUACUUUCUUUACCAAGGAUCCGUCCGUUUCUCAGUGGGAUGUCCCGCUAUUUAUAGGGGACAAUUUAGAGGUACAGACUGUGGGGUCCAAGCCCCUGAAGGACAGAUAGAGACAGCAUAUCACCUUGAUGUGACUAAUCUGGACAAAGGGUAGGAUGGCAAAACAGUGGACAGUGUCAGAGGUCACAUCCACCACUGUUUGGGGGUCAAACCCUCUGUCCACAUCUCGGUUAGUGUGGGUCGUAGAACUGUACUGAGGUGAUAGUGGGACGACAAAGUCACCUCGGUGAUCAGGACGCCAGCUCAACCGAGGUGGUUACGACGGGUGAGAUGAUCGUUCCGAACUGGGGCACACUACGGCUUCCCCGAGACGAAAUGGCCAUCCUCAAUAAGGCCCCCAAGCUUCGGUAGGGUAUCAAUUGAUGGUAGCUUGCCGAGGCUUUUACAGGGAAAUGAUAGGAAAGCCCCUGGACGCUAUGAUGAUAACGUGCAGAGUACGAUGAGUCAGGAAGAUGAUGGGACAACUAACUGAUUGAUUGAAUCGUGGACUAACAUGGCUCAGAGAGACGAAGAGUCAGUCGGCUGUUGGUUAGAAUGGCGGUAAAUAAUAAAUGAGAGGCACGUCUUUCUUUAAAGGUUCGACACGCCGUCCUUUGGUUUUCCUCCCCCCUUUUAUAAAUAGGGGUCCCUCCUUCAUUUUUCACCCUUCCUCGCUUUUUACUUCUUACCAUUUGCCCAUCUAAACAACUUCCCAAGGUGACACUACAGCAGAAAACACAAACCUCCUUAGGAAGAGUAAGCUCGUCUCUUUUUCUUUGCCAAUAGCAUGAAUAGCCCGUACCCAUAAAGAAACGGUCAGGCCAGACUUCGUCGGGGUAGAGAGGCCCGAUCCAACCUAGGAGGGAGGGACUUCAUCCAAUCCCGGGGAAGGGACCUCAUCCAACCUUGGGAGGGACACAGUCGGGGCAUCUUAUAAGGCCAAUACACCACAAGCACAAAGUCCAGAAGAAUUCGAGGUGCUUUAUAAUGAUGAACUCGGGACUGAGGUGCCGAUAGACGAGGGCAUGCUGGAACCAGCCACCCCUCCAAAUCUGUCAGCUAUUGACUACGGCCAAGUUCCCAUGUUCAACAGCAUCAUAGGUGAAGCUCUGACAGCAGCACUGGUCUUCAAAUAUCCCUUUCGAGGUGACUAUAGCAUUCGUCCACCCGGACCGAAUCAAACAGCAAAACGCCCUCCGAAGGGGAGGUCACCGUAUAUGCAGAUCAGCUAGAGGCAGGAUUCAGGAUGCCAACCACUAGGUUCUUCUAGUACUACCUCAAAUAUUGGGAGGUGAGGAUUACCCAGUUCGUCCCUAACGCAGUCCGAAUCCUAGUCGGUUUUGAGAUGCAGUGCCGGCAUCAGGAGAUAGUCCCCACAGUAAAGCUCUUCCACCGCUGCUACACCAUCAAGAACAGCGGAAGUGAGAAGGAGUGGUUCUAUUUCGGGAACAGAGUCCCGAAGUUGGUAGUCGAUGCUCCCACUUCUAUAAAGGAGUGGAAGCACAAUUUCGUGUUUGUCCCGAUUGAAGAAUUCCCAAGGGGGUUCUGGUGGAGGCCCCAACUCGGGCAAAAGACACCUCUCCUGGGGACUUGGAAGAAGAAAUUUCCAAAAACUGAUGGGGUCGAGUCUCAAAAUUAACAGUUGGGCCUUCCCCGAGGUAGUUCUCGUGAACGGAGGAAUCAGUCGAGUUUUAAUCAACUCGGAUCACACUCCUUUCUUCUCUACUAGGCUUAAGAAACCUUGUAUCUUUCUACUCAUUAUUUUGUCUUUACCUUUGUUUGAUUCUAAGUAACCUCACCUUUCUUUCAUGCAGUGACAAGGGUAUCCGACCUGAUUACUUCGGGAGCAGCUGUAGUGAACAAAAGGCCAGCAAAACGGAAAACAACUACUGGAACAUCGGCUCAGCCGAAGAAGAAAACCAGUACGGCAAGGUGCCCUACUCCGGUGAUAAUUCCAGGCGAGGCUUCAUGGACCUCGGCCAUUCCGAUAAGAGUGGCGAUCCGAGGUGUGACGACAGCCUCGCCAUCUCCGGGCCAAGGUGUGACUCCGAUUCCUGAAGUCCCCAUCUCCAGAUCUUCCCUGUGGAACUUUCACCAUGUGCCACCUCAGGAAGUCGGGGAAGACAAAAGGCACUCCAACGCACAAUGGUGCCCAGAGUGGGAUCUGAACGUAAACGACCGCUGCAAAAAUCUCAAGGUCGGUCAUGAGCUCAUGGUGCACUCUGUUCUUCCGAGGGACCACAUUUAUGCCAGAAAGCUCAGUUCUUCUGAACUGAUGCAGAGUGCCUCGGUGGCGUGAGCUUCUACUAGAGGUGUCAACGAAUUGAGCUGCUCGCAAAUAGUUCUCGAGCAGUUCGUUCAAAUGAUCGGCUAGAGCUCGGUCAAAUCGAGUUCGAGUCGAUCUCGAACAAUUCGAAUAUUCCAACGAAUCGAAUUCGAGUUUAAAAAUGUUAUGUUCGACAAGCUCGCGAGCUUUUCGAGCUUAAGGUAUAUUUAAAUAUAUAUAAUUUUAUAUUUAUAAAAUUACUUAAAUAUAUAUAGUUGUAAGCUUAAUUACAUGUUUUACCUAUUAAAAUUCAAAAUAUAUUAGGGGUAUUCUUGUCUUUCCAAAUAAUUCAAAAAAAAAUUCGCAUAUUAGACUCUAAUUAGGUCAAGCAGCUUCAAUUCUUGUCCGCCGUCUUCUUUCUUUCAACGAAUCGAGAGCUUCCUCACCUCAGUGGCUCAGUCCCUAUUCCUUAAUCCCCAUUCCUCACCUCAAUCCCUAAUUCCAAUUUCAAAUCAAACCUAUUUGGGUUGCUAACUCUAGCAGUCCAGCCGUUUCAUUUCGCUGUUGCCAACUCCACCCAUUUGUUGUCAAAUCAAACCCAUUUGGAUUGUGCAGCCGUGCGGCGAGCGGAAGCUUGGAUCUUGAAACAAGUGCAGGCGUGCAAUAGGUAUUUCUUGAAGCUUGGAUCUUGAGUUUUUCUCUUCCCUUCUAUAUUUCUUUGAUGUCUAUUGGGGCUAAGAAUACCGAAACGCAGUUGGUUGUAAGACCAAGGGUGCCUUAUGCCCAAAAGCUCAAUGAUACACAAGCUACACCUUUUCUGAAUAUUUGUUUCAUCGAUGGUGAUCAGUGGCUACAACCAUAUAGAUAAUUUGAAUAUCAUGUUAAUUAAGUUGUGGGAAGAAUUUGCAAUGGCUGAAUUCAUAAUUUGGUGUUUUCAAUGAUCUAAAUUAUAAUGAUUGAAGGAUGGAUAUAUUUAUUUGGAAUUAAUUUCUAAAAUGAUUUAUUAUAGCGUUUGAAACAUGAAUAAAUUUCUUGGAAGGAUUCAAGAAGAUUUAACAAGUAAUUUAUCAAUUUAUGUGAGUAGAAGACUUUUUUUUUAAUAAUCAUUAUGUGUAUUAAAACACUUGUAACAUGCUGUAAGGGUCCAAGUAUUUAAAUCUAAAAUAUGUUCCCUUCAAAAAACUUGCGCCGAAGCUUUGUCUCCAACAGAAUGAGGCAUCCAACAAUUCAGUAACUUGUAUAUCUUGCAACUGGCGUAUAUCUAGAGGUCUAUAUAUAAUUGCGUACUUAAUUUUUUGAAAGAUCAAAUAUAUAUUGAUAGGGAUGUACAAUGAUAAGAUGGUGGUGAAAUGGUUAUGUUCUAACUUAUUAUUAUUAUUAUUAUUAUUUUGCAGAAAGUGAAGGCAGCAAAAGAGAUUCUACUUCCCAUAAAAUGAAUGUGAUAAUUGGAAAGGUAUAUUGUUUGUAUUUAAUAUUUCGAUUCUUCUUCAAAUAUCUUAUUUUAGAUUUUACUGCUACUAUUUAAUUACCUAAAUUAUUUAUUUUAUGUAGGGCCUGGAGUUGAAAAUUUGGAAUCCGUAAGCAAAAGCUGGAAAAGAUUAUUGUGGAAUGGAUAACAUGCUACUGUCUUUAAUUGCAAAAUUUGUUUCACAUUUUUAAUUUGAAUGUUGACACUUUGGCUUUGUUUUUCCUGUUUGUGUGACUUGGUGGAUGUUGGUUGUGUGACUUAUCUCUGAAUUUGGAUGUUAGAUUUGAUGUUAAAAUACGGAUGAAUUUGGAUAUUGGUUGGCAUAAUGGCUGAAAAGUGUUGACAAUUUGAUUGAUGCUUUGGACUUUAAAUUGGUAUUUAAAAUUGGUUUGUCUCAAGCCAGUUUAUCAUAUGGAUGAGUUUGGAUUUUGAAAUUUUUGAUUUUGUAAAUUUCUGUGGGAAUGCUUGAAUUAUCGAAUGCAAAUGACAGAUGAAAAGACUAAAUGAAAGAGCAAAUUUUACUUGCUAAGAAUAGCAGAUUGUUUGGUUUAGUUUAGACUUGUAUAAACGAGCACAGUAUUUAAUCGAGCUCGAAUUCGAACUCGAGGAGCUCGAGUUCGAAAUCGAGCCCGAGUUCGAAUUUGAGCUCGAACACAUAUUCGAGCAAUUUCGAGUACGAGCCCGAACCUCACGAUUUUCUUAAGAAUCGAAUUCGAGCAAGUAAAAUUGAUAUUCGUCGAUCUCGAUCUCGAGUUUUAGACACUUUGUCAAACUCGAACUCGAUCAACUUACUAUUCGAGUUCGAUUCGAUUCGUUGACGCCUCUAGCUUCUACUACAGCCUUUUUGUCCGAGAUGACCCAACGCUACACUAAUCUGCUCGAGUAUUACCAGCCGUCCUUCGAGCUUCAAAAGAAGGUCGCCGAACUGGAAGAGAAGCUGAAGGCCACCGAGCAGAAGCGUGAUAAGGCAGUGGCUAGUCAAGAACAUGCCGAAACCACAAACAACUCUCUAAAAAUCGCUCUUGAAGAAGAAAAAGACAGACGCAUUCAAUAGGAGCAGUCAGCUUAGGAGGGCAUAGAGAAGGCUGGAACCUCGGCUGUAGAGGCCUUUCGCAAAUCCGAGACUUUCACUCGUGAUCUCGGAGAGCUAACGCUGCCGAAUUUCAUGUUUGGAUACAUCUCGGCGAUUAACGAUGCGGCACCUUUCCUUUCUACUGAACAAUUGGAGUCCCUCAAAGACAAGUCCAACUUCAACGAAGAUGCCAAUGAGUUGUGCGACCGCAUGGCAGAAGGUAUCCAGACCGGUAGAGACUUGGCUAAGGUCCGGAAGAAAUUUAAUCAGUGGCUCUCUGAGUUUGAUGCAGAAGGCAAUGAGCUCGGGGAGAGCGAGACGGGAGGAGAAGGUGAUGGCAUCGGCACAGAAGAAGUGGGGGAUGGCGAAAGCAGCAAGGCAGGGACUGAUUAGAAACAUCCCUAUGCUUUGUAACUAGCCGCCAAGGCCGUAGAUGCUUAGCAGGGACUGCUGAGAAGCUGGCCUCGGCCUUUUUUUUUGUAACCCCUUUAAUGCCAAUUACCUCUUUUUUCUUUAAUCAUUGAUCACUUUCUUUUUAUGCAUCCUAACCCACUUGUCCCCUUGUUUUUUGCUUAACAACACAGAUGCUAAGGAAAAAAAUAAAUAUUGCAAGAAAUAACGGGUAGUUCUUGAAUAAAAAAAUACUUUUCAAGAAUGAUACAAUUUGAGAUUUUCUGAAUGUCAAGUCCGGGGCAUAAAGAGCCAUUCCGGUAGGUCAAUUUACAAUAGCCAUUAUGGCUAGACUCAACGACUCAGUACAGCCCCUUCUACCUGGGAGCUAAUUUUCCCUGAGUUUCAGUUCGACUGACAGAGUUCUUCCAUAAAAUCAAAUCUCCUGGAUUGAACUGCAGAUUUUUGACUCGUGCGUUAUAGUAGCUAGUUAGAAUUUUCUUGUAUAAUGCCACUUUGGCGGCUGCAGUGUCCCUUUUUUUCUCGACAAGAUCGAGGUCCACUUUCCUCUCUUCUUCAUUAAUCUCAGCAGCAAAGGCCGCCAUACGGGGACUGAGAGUGAUGAAUUCGAUGGGGACCACCGCUUCAGAUCCAUAAGUUAGAGAAAACGGAGUUUCCUGCGUAGCAGGCCUCGGGGUGGUUCGGUAGGGCCAUAAGAUAAUGGGAAGUUCUUCUACCCGAGAUAACCCGGCUUGGUGCAACCUGGUUUUUAAGCCAUAGAGCAGUGUUCGGUUGAAAUUCUCAGCCUGCCCAUUGGCUUUAGGGUGUCCCACCAAAGUAAAAUGUUGAUGAAUGUCAAGGCUUUCACACCAGCCCUUGAAGAAGUUAUCUGCGAAUUACUUCCCGUUAUCCGAGAUGAUCACUCUGGAUAACCCGAAGCGGCAGAUCACCUGCUUCUAGAAGAAUUUUUAGACGGCCAAACCGGUUAUACUCCUCAGAGGCUCGGCUUUGAUCCAUUUGGUGAAAUAAUCCACCGCAACCACCAGAUAAGCAUAGUUGCCGGGGGCUAUACGGAAUAGACCAAUUAUAUCAGUGUCCCAUUGUUCGAAUGGCCAUGGCGAGGUGAUAGAGAUCAUGAGGUUGGUUGGCUGGUGAUAUUCAGGGGCAUGAUGUUGGUAGGAAGGGCAGUUAAAGACCAAGAACUGGACAUCUCGCAGAAUAGUAGACCAAAAAUACCCAAGCAAUAAGGCCUUCUUGACCAGCAUCCGAUAGCCAAUAUGGGCAUCACAAAAUCCCUCAUGUAUGUCUUGGAGAAUUUUUUCCCCUUCCUCUGGCGUGAUACACCGCAGCAGUGGGUUGACGUAAACCUUUUGUAUAAGAGAUUUUGCCGAAGAGCGUAUCAGACUGAUUUAUGCUAAAGUUUUCUUGCUUCGAAUCGAUCCGCCGGAAGCUCCCCUUGACCAAGGCACCGAAUCAGCGGGCCCAUCCAAGUAUCCCUGGAUAAACGGAGCACACGAUUUCUUCUAAAUAGCCCGGCUCGACUAAGACCUCAACGAGGACCGUUUUAUUCAGGUCAGAGAAAGAAGUGGAAGCAAGCUGGGAUAGAGCAUCAGCCCGCUUAUUCCACGAUCGAGAUAUCCUUUGAAUUUCGAUGGACUCAAAGUGUGCAAUUAAUUGGUGAAUUUUGGAAAGGUAAUGCGCAUAACCUCCUCCCUGACCUCAUAUUAACCAAGUAUCUGACACACGACGAGUUGGGAGUCGCUGUUGACCAAGAUGUGCCGAGCUCUUAGCCUACGAGCUAGUUGUAGGCCAACGAUGACUACUUCGUAUUCGGUUUCGUUAUUAGAUGCUGUAAAAUCAAACCGUAGAGCAUACAAACACCGCUCCCCUUAUGAAUUUUCGAAGAGCAAACCUGCUUCACUACCCUCACUAUUGGACGAGCGGUCCACAUGCAGGAUUUACCGCUGAGGCUCGGUUGAAUCUGAUGUAGGCUCUUUCACCUCGUUGAAAGUGAGCUCAGCUAGGAAAUCCGCAAGAGCCUGAGUUUUGAUGGCCGUCCGGAACUCAUAGGACAAAUCAUACUCUCCCAAUUUAAUGGCCCAUUUAGUACAACGACCAGAAACUUCAAGACGCGAUAACACCUGCCUGAGGGGUUGAUCUGUUCUCAAGUAGAUGUGGUGAGCUAAAAAGUAGAGAUUCAACCUACGAGUUGCGUGAAUCAAAGCUAACACGAGUUUUUCUACUUGGGUGUAUCUAGUUUCGGGUCCUUGAAGGACCUGGCAGACAUAAUAAACUGAUAUCUGGGCGCUUUUCUCCCGUAUUAGCACAGCACUUACUGCCUCAUCUGCAACGGACAGGUACAAGUAUAGCAUGUCCCUAAGUCGAGGUAGGGUGAGUGUUGGAAGAUGGUGGAGAUAUUCCUUCAUUUGUUCGAAGGUCUGUUGGCACUAUUCUGUCCAGAAAAAUUUGUCAGCCUUUUUCAACACCUUGAAAAAGGACAAUGCCUUAGCAGUGGACUGCGACAAAAAUCGGUUCAGAACGGCUAAUCGCCCUGUCAGCCUUUGCACGUCUCGGGCUCACCGAGGUGAAAACAUUUUCUGAAUCGCCUUCAUCUUAUCAGGAUUUGCCUCUAUACCUUGCCGCGACAUAAGAUAUCCCAAGAAUUUUCUCGAAAUGACCCCAAAAAUACAUUUUUUGGGAUUCAACAUCAUCCGAGUAUCACGAAAGACCCCGAAGACCUCCUUUAGGUCGGAUAGGAAAGUCGAGAUUUUCUUACUUUUGAGGAGGAUGUCAUCCACGUAUGUUUCGACAUUUCGGCCUAUUUGAGAUUUAAAAACUCGAUUGACCAAAUGUUGAUAUGUGGCCCUAGCGUUCUUUAACCCAAAGAGCAUGGUAGUAUAGCAGUACACACCUUGAUCUGUGUAGAAAGCCGUCUUCUCCUGGUUCUCCUUGCUCAUCCCGAUUUGAUGAUACCCUUUGAAAUCAUCAAGGAAACAGAGGACUUCAUAACCCAUUGUUGAGUCUACUAAGGUGUCGACUCUGGGCAACGAGUAGCAGUCCUUAGAACAAACCUUGUUCAGGUCGGUGAAAUCGACGCAUAUUCUUCAAGCCCCCGUGUCCUUUUUGACCAUGAUUGGAUUGAAUAACUAGGUCGGGUACUUCACCUCCCUGAUCAUCUUUGCAGACAAGAGUUUAUCCACCUCCUCUCCUACUGCUUUACUUCGCUCUGGAUCGAAAUGCCUUCUCUUUUAUUUAACAGGGCAUGUUUGAGGAUCAACAUUCAACUCGUGCAUCAUGAGGUGAUGUGACACACCUUGAACCUCAUUGACAGCCCAAGUAAAAAUGUUUUGAUACUCCUUGAGGAGGUCCACCAUCUAUCUCCUAAGUGAGUCAGGCAAAUGAAUGCCGACGCGGACCGUCUGAUCAGGCUUCGAGACGCCCAGGGGGAUAUCCUCCACCUCAUUUCCGUUCUCUAGCCUCUUCGGCUUCCCGAUUUGUUAGGGAUCGAUGCAAUCGAUCGAAAAUAUAUUGGACCUUCUCUCAGACCUCGGUUUAGAGGUUGAGGGAGAGGCUGCUUGCAAGGUGGCGUAACACUCAAGCGCUGCACAGACAUUACUACUCAUCUCGGCAAUACCUGCCGGGGUUAAAAAUUUGAAACUUAAAUUAUACGUGGAGUAUACUGCACGUAAAGCAUUAAGCGUAGGUCGGCCCAUGAAUAGAUUAUAGGAAAAGUUAGCUUUAACCACGACGAAAUUGACGGGAAUGGUGCGACAGCGAGGGUGAUAUCCCACAGUCACCAUUAGCAUGACCAUCCCUUCAGGGUGUACUACAUGUCCCCCGAACCCUACCAGGAGGUCCUCACGGGAGUUAGCUGCUCCUUGAUUAGCUUCAAGCCGUCAAAAGUUCGGAGAUACAUGACGUCAACCGAACUCCUUGGGUCGAUAUACACCUUCUUGACUAUAUAGUUGUUGAUAAACACUUCAAUCACCAGAGUUUCAUGGCUGUUGGAAGCAGGGAGACGGGGUCAUUGGGGCCGUAAGAUAUCACUUCGGAUAAGCGAGAGUUAGGUCGGCCUAGUCGGGGUUAGUCUGCCUGUAAGUCCUCUUCCGGGAGUUUUGACUGUCUCCUCCCAUCGAAUUUCUGGCAAUGGUGUUGAUGAUCCCAACAAUAUUGGGCCCAUAACCUAGUCCAUGACCCGAGGACCCGUCUCGGGAAGGCCUUCUCGCUUCCCUAGGAUCCUCAGGGGGUCGGCAGCUACUCCUCGACCCACGCCGGUCAUCUCGCGUUGGUCACCCCGACUUUCACGACGAGAGUCGCUCCGUUGGUGACCUCUGUCUCGACGGAUGAAUUGUUUCAAGUGACCUUGUUUGAUGAGGUGCUCUAUCUCUCUUUUGAGAUCAUUGCAAUCUUCCGUCUUGUGCCUGAUAUCCUGGUGGUACAGACAGUAGAGGCUGGAGUUCCUCUUCUCCCUGUUUCCGUACAUCUUCGGAGGGGCACGUCCGAGGUUGUUCUGCUCCAUCACAGAGAAUACUCGGAAUCGACUGGUGUUUAAAGGAGUCAACUCAGAAUCGGGGACAGAUGCCUUCCCCUUGGCUAUCCUAGCAAACACACUUCGACGAUCCCGAUUAGAACUUUAGAAGCCGCCAACAGUACCAACCUCAUUUUGGUUGGUAUCCUUCUUCUUUUGGGAAUCAGGUCCCGAACGAGCCGCUUCGACCUCUUUUUUCAUACGGUGGAGGUCCUCGGCCUGUAUGUCUUUUUCGAUCUUCAACCAGAGUUCCUGGAGCGUGCGAGAAUAUUUCUUGUGUAUCCCGAUAUUAAAUACCCCGACAGCAAGCCCGUGGGUAAAGGCAGUGAUUGUUAUCUGUUCAUUAGGAUCAGGUAUCUACACACUCUCCUCGUGAAACCUUUGUACGCAAGACCGAAGUGACUCUCCCGGAUUCUGCUAGAUAUUCAGCUAGUCGUGGGUCUAAAGGAUAUGAAUCGAUGGAGGAAUCUCUCCACUAGUUUUCCUAGGGUGAAUAUGCUCCUAAGUUCCAAUCCCCAGAACCAUUUUCGAGCAGUGCUCUGGAGGAAUACCAGAAAAGCCCGACAGAUAACUGGAUUAGAAAUGCAAUAUAGUCGGAAAGCCGAGAUGAAAGCAUGAAUGUGGUCUUCAGGAUAAUCUCGGCCAUCAUAAGGAGGUAUUGUGGGGAGGUUGAAAUUCAGAGGGAGCCUUUCCUCAUUGAUCUCGUCUGUGAAAGGCGGGACCCUAAUAUAAUCCAUACCUGAUCUCUCCGGGAGUCGAGGUUCUUCCUCAGGUCGUCGCCCAAAUAAUCCCCGUGAGAAGGCCUUGGAGAGAGAGACUACUUUAGAAGCAGGCUUGGACAAGGCUCACUUCAAGAUGCUCCUCUCCAAACGCCUCCCAUCGGAUUCUUCGUCUGACGGGAGUUCGGGAGAUUCAUCUGACUUCCUCUUAUAGGACUCGACUUUUUGUUUGUUCUACCUCUUAAAAUAUCUCCCCAAUUCCUCAAAGAUAUUUGGAUUCUCUGCCAUUUUUGUCAUGGCUUCUUCGUUUGCUGGUUGAGGUCCUUGGGACCCUUGUCCCUCGGACAUGUUCUCUUCUUAGACCGAAACGCUGGACCCGACCCCAAUGGUGACAAUCUUCUUGCUCCUAGAACCCGUAGGCUUCAUUCUUAGAUGAUAUCGAGUUCCCCCAGACAACGGCAAUUGAAGAGGUGAUUUUUGAUCAGAUAAGCUGCUCCGAAUGCCAGGAAUAUAUGCCGAAUUGGUAGAAUAGUUGAUCAAAGAUCACUUGCUUAGAUUGUUAGAUACGGGGCCUAAUCCCCCGGUUCACCUCUGAAGGCUAAGUUAGUUCAGAAUAAUGUGAAAAUAAUUCUAGAGAGAGAGAGUAGGCUACUUUCUUUACCAAGGAUCUGUCCGUUUCUCAGUAGGAUGUCCUGCUAUUUAUAGGGGACAAUUUGGAGGUACAGACUGUGGGGUCCAGGCCCCUGAAGGACAGAUAGAGACAGCAUAUCACCUUGACGUGACUAAUCUGGACAGAGGGCAGGGUGGCAGAACAGUGGACAGUGUCAGAGGUCACAUCCACCACUGUUUGGGGGUCAGACCCUCUGUCCACAUCUCGGUUAGUGUGGGUCGUAGAACUGUACCGAGGUGAUAGUGGGACGACAAAGUCACCUCGGUGAUCAGGACGCCAGCUCAACCGAGAUGGUUACGCCGGGUGAGGUGAUCGUUCCGAACUGGGGCACACUACGACUUCCCCUAGGCGGAAUGACCAUCCUCACCAGCCAAAUGGCCAGAACGCAAGUCGGCCCUUGGUUGCAUGUGAUACUUCUUCAACAAACCUCUUCGGCUUAAAUUCCUUCACAUCCUCACCCCAUAUAUCCGGGUCAUAAUGCAUUAACAUUAUUGGCAGCACGAGUAGCACCCCAACUGGGAUAGUUAAAUUUCCUAAUUUAGUUUCUUCGGCAAUUCUUCGAGUUGUUGCAGUAAUUGGUGGACAUAACCUUAAAACCUCAUAUAAGAUUAUGUUGACCCAUGAGAAUAGAACAAUAUGCUACGGAUUUUGGUAUAAUGCCAUGAGGGCCUUUCAAACUUGUCUAUUCCAUUCUAGCAUUUGGUAUAAUGCAUUUAGCUGGGAAAGCCCUCUAUACAUGGUAUAUCCAUUCUAACUUUUAUUUUUUUGAAAUCUCAUUCCUCAAAAAAAUUUAGAGAAAGUCCUUUCCACAUUUAUCCUAAAAUACUUAACUAGCAGGAUGUCAAAUUUAUCCUUAUAUAUGUUUAUACUGCAUCAUGAUAUAUUAGCCUAUUUAUAAGCUCAAUUAAUGUUUGAAUGUAAAUUUUUAUAUUACUAAUUUUCCUUGUAUUUAAAAUAAUUUUUUUAUAUACUAGAAAACAAAUGUUUUAGAAUACCUAAUUUUUUGACUUUUGAGUAAUUGUGCAAGAAUUUGAAUCUUACCAUAAUUGAAACUAGAUUAAAAAUAAAUUAUAAUUGUUUGAAUUCAUGUAAUUUAUAUUUUACGUUGCUACUUAUAUUGUUAAAAAAUGCAAAAUUUUAACAAAAAGCUAUAAGACAUAUUAUGUCUUAUAAACUAAUCCAAAGUAAUUAAGCCAAAUUUGUAUUUAAUAUAUUCCAUUCUGAUAUCUAAAUAUUCAUUAUACCAAAUAUUGAAAAAUGAAUAAACAUUUCAUUCUGACUUGUUAGUUUUCAUGUAUGGUUCAUGUUUGACUUAUAGAUAUUAUUAGCAUAACACUUGCAUUUACUAAUACGAAGGAAUAAAUACAAAUUCAAAUGAUAAAUAGGCCAAGGCAGUUGAUUGUAAUUAACAUCUAUACUUUAUAUAAAACUCGAGAAAGGGGUUUGAGGUUGACAUUAGCGUGAACAUUUAUCUCCACUUUAUGAAUUUUUUUUGUCCUUAUAAAACCUACUUUUACUUUAAUUAUUUAUAAUUACCCACGACUAUUUUUAUUUUUAAUUAUUUAAAUAUACAUUUUAAACAUAGUUACCCCUAAACAUUAUAAUUGUCAAUAUAAACUUAUUUUAUGAAAAAUAUUUAAAAGAUUAAAAUUUACUUCAAUAAUAAUUUUUUUAAAAAAAUAUAUGAUCAUAAAUAUUAUGUAUUAUUUUAAUUGCUCAUACAUUAGGUGUGCAUUGAGUACUAAUACAUGUAAGAUUGUCCACAUAUUAAUAGAACUAUGCAACUGCACAAUUCAUUAGGGCCUGAUUAAGAUUAUUAAACUUAUCAACAGCUGUAGCCUUUGGAUUAACCAUAGCGACAAACAAAAGAUGCGGAAUGGAGUUGGGUCACCAUUUCCGUGCCUUUACGUGACUUGACAGAUAAAUAAAAUAAAGUAGCAAGUUGCCGGUUGUCUUACUGGUAUUUUUUUAAAAGUUUUUUUAAUGAUUAAAAAAUUGAUGUGGUAAGCGACAGGAAUCAGCCCGAAUUGAUAUGACAAAACCGGACGAGGGGCCUGGACGGUUGUCAGAGACAACCGUUCCAGGCAGUUCACGGCUAGGAUGAAGUUUUAAAAAUUUGUGCGACUCAAAUCACGUCUUGUAACUCGAUUUUCACAUCGUGUGAGGCCUACAAAAAUGUUAUUCUAUUUUACUCGCUGUUGUUCAAUUGUUACACCUUGUACAGAUGAUGUUACACCAUGUACAAAUGGUGUUACACCUUCCGGAGCGGUUGUUCUGACAACCGCUCCAACCCCGCGUCCGACAAAACCAUUUGCUCUGUACCAAGUUUUGUCAGUCGGAAAAAAACCGCUUGGCCCUCGGGCCCCAUCCUGUCCUCCCACGUGACGAACGCUUUGAACGUGACUAGCGUAAGAAGGACAACGUGAGACACGUGCGUUAAAAAAUCCAUCAUGGGUUUAAAACCGCUUACAAUAUGCCACGGAUUUUGGUGUAUAAUUGACUUGAAAUCUUUUAGGUUAUAGAGACCAUCAAAUUUUGAUAUUUUUGGUCCCAGCAGCAAUUGACUGCGUCGCAAAAUCUCUUCUCCAGCACGUUCUUGCUGAAUGAGAUCAUCGUCCAAACAAGCAAUGGUCUCCAGCCCGGGAAAAUACAGCUGUUAAUACUAGCUAAUAAAAUUUAUAGAGUCUACUAAUUAAUAAUGUUUGAGAACAGCUGUUAAAUGAUUUUUAAGCCACGACAAGCCAUUUGUUUUCUCGAUUACCUAAGAAAAAGGAAAGAUCUCCUGCAAAAUAAAACCAGUAGAUGUAAUAUUUUAUUUCUCUCUUAAUUCGCCAUGAGAAAUACAUUACGUGAAUCUGUGCUGCUGUAUUCAAACAGAUCCAUUGACAUAUCAUAUUGGGCGAGACUUAAACUAAGUUUACAAGCAGCAAAGUUAAGCAUAGAAGGCGUGCUUUAUUUCGUUAAAAGAUAAUCUGCUGCCACAGGGGCUGCUCCAAGUCAUACAUGUGAAACAAAAGCUAUGUAUUCUGCAAAAUCAAGUGAGCUCCAUGCUGGGGUUGAAUUAGUGCUAAUGAGGCUGUUCGAGGAGCAUGAGUAUAAGAUGGUGAGAGUUCAAAGGAGAAGCGUUGCAGAAUCAUAGACAUUGCCAGUUUUGCUUGCAACAUGGCAAAAUUUUGUCCAAUGCAAGUGCGAGGUCCCCAGCCAAAUGGAAAGUAUGCAAGUGCCUGGCCCUUUGUUGCAUGUGAUACUCCUUCAGCAAACCUCUCAGGCUUGAAUUGCUUCACGUCCUCGCCCCAUAUAUCAGGUUCAUGAUGCAUCAGCAUUAUUGGCAAGGUGAUUUGCACUCCAGCCGGGAGAGUUAAAUUUCCUAAUUUAGUUUCUUGAGUAGUUCUUCGACUCAUUAUAGCCACUGGUGGAUACAACCUUAAAACCUCAUGCAAGAU